UACGUAGGGGGCUAGCGUUGUUCGGAAUUACUGGGCGUAAAGCGCACGUAGGCGGAUCGAUCAGUCAGGGGUGAAAUCCCAGGGCUCAACCCUGGAACUGCCUUUGAUACUGUCGAUCUGGAGUAUGGAAGAGGUGAGUGGAAUUCCGAGUGUAGAGGUGAAAUUCGUAGAUAUUCGGAGGAACACCAGUGGCGAAGGCGGCUCACUGGUCCAUGACUGACGCUGAGGUGCGAAAGCGUGGGGAGCAAACAGG
rnacentral:rRNA from 1 species